GCAGUGUGCGCAGAGAUGAAUUAUAAGGGUAUAAUACCAUAUGAUAACGCCUUGGAGAUUGGCCAGAACCAGUGUGCACUUUGUUGCAGGUAUCCUGUAGCUGCAGACGUGAAGCAACGAACGGCGAGGGAGGCAAACCGAAUUCAUAAUAGUUGAAAAUCCGGAAGAGCUCCGUUGCAUGUGAAGUUACGGUACCUGCAAGUGCAAAUCUCGGCUUGGAAUAAUCUUAUUCUGGCGGGUGCAAUGCCUUGUUGGGCGUGGAGAGCUGAAAUACCCCUGCACCGAGCUAUCCCUGCCCAUUUGGCCUGGAGCCGUCAGUGGCUGUACGCAUCAAACCCAGGGCAAGCAUGCAUCGUGAUCAGAAUGGCUCAAGAUGAUGCUUUCGCGGCCCCUAGGGAGUACUAAAAAUCAUACGUUGACUGUGAAGCUGACCAAGAGGAUAGUUCAAAUGGUUCAUGAAGUGAACAUUCGUCAGAAGGAAGACUGGAACAGAAAGGACCUACACAUUGAGGAAUGAAUGGGAAAGGAAGUGUGCUGGCGUCGUUUUGAACGAGCUUGAGCUCAAAAAACAAAGUGUUGGCUAAUGUCGAGAUGCAAGUGACCCUCAUCCAAACCAGAAUAAACUCUUCUGAGCAGUGAAACGCAACGCUGAGGCAUUGUGCGCAGGCUGAGAGUAUGUCUGGACAGUUGAGGGUGACUUGACAGCUGUUGAGAAAGAAUCUCACUUGUGACAGAGUUCGGACAUCAUACCAAUGAGCUUGUAAUCAAUUGAUAGGAAUAGCUCAUAUUCGAAAAUAUUUGCUUCUGUAUGCAUCUCCUUUUUAUUUGUAUUUGAGAAUGUUCGACUCGAUUCGCAAUACGUUUUACAAUCUUUUUUUUUGCAGGUAUUUUAUAUGCUGAACAUUUCACUAGCACCCCCCUCCACUCCUUUCUGUUUUCUUAUUGAAUAAAAUAAGCACUACUACUUAUUAUAAAAGCUGGAUUAAAUUG
rnacentral:lncRNA from 1 species